AAAGGAGGCCCUACACCAUACUAAUAAACGAUUGUGGUCUAAAACCAGGUAUUUCAGUUUCAUUGUCCAACCCCUGUAUUUCACUGUGAUCAAGAUGUGAGACUUUGAAAGCCUUUUACUCUCACUUGAAAACACACAUUAAAGAGGGGAAACAGUUACUUGUCCUUAUAGACACUGUAGCAAAAGCUUUACAAUCUUAUUGACAUUCACAUCACACAUGAGUCGGAAACAUAAAAAUGGUACUGAGGAAAAUCUGUUUGAGUCCAUUGUGAAUCCUGGUGUUUCCUAUGAGAGUGAACAAUAUCAGUCUGAUAUGCAGAUUGAUCCUUCUGUCAAGGAUGUCAUCUCUGAAGGUGAAGAUAAUGAGGUGGCACUUCGUGUUCAGCUGGUCAUGGCACACUUUGGAGAGGACCUAAGCGGGCUGAUCCUUUUUGCAGAUGUGUAUGCCACAGCAGCUGACAUUGAGGCAACUCUUAGCCUUCCUGCAAGUCCUCGGCUGAUACUUAAUGGUGCUUCAUUGGCAUAAAUCCAGAGAGAGGGACAAAGGCCAAAAGAGGCAAGAUUGUCUCCAAGAAGAAAGGUGUGAUCAUUCAGAAGACGUCUUCUGCAGUCAACACACACGUGUCCAUGCUACUGAAGAACCUCCUUGACUUUGAAUGGGACUUCAUAUAGAUCAUGGCAACACUAUAAUAAUGCUAGAGAGGAACUAACAAACUGAUGUUCGUCCCUCCUGGAUCCACAAGACUUGAAUCAGGGCCGUUCACAUCCACCCAGACUCCCACAGGAACUAAGAACGGCUACUUGGCUGUAUUUUCUGGUCCAGGUGUGAAGUCUCAGUCUUCGCCAUGCCACAUCUCUCAGAGGAGCGGCAGCAGUGGCGCCGGGGCAUCGACCUUUAGACACAACUACUGUAUCACUCAACAAUCUUCCUUCAAACGAUCCCCUGCCACCCCACCCCUCCGUCUUCCUCCUCCUGCCCUUCUUUAGUCAUCCUCCUUCUUCCUCCGAUUAUUAAGAUGAGGAUUUAUUUGUGUCGCCUAUGCUUUCACCAACGUUACUUACCCUCAGACAGCUGUUGUUGUUGCCGGUUACUGGGAUUUGGGCUAUCUGAAAUCAGAUGGACAUGAUUAUUUUUUUAAUGGCUCCACCCAGACUCUAUCCUCUGUUGAUUGGUUAUAAAUUGUCCGUUGCUGUGACAAAAGGUUUUGCAGGAUGCUUUGGCAGAACCGGACAAAAGCAAAGUAAAACAAAUCACAGCAGGCUUCCUAUCUGUUGUCUGGUGGGACAGAGGUCUGCCUUUAGUUCUGUUCAUUGGUGGGGAAUGGGAAUAGACAACACAAGGGCCUUGAUGAUUAAUCCAUCUAUAAACUUUUUUUUCUCCACAGUCUGCUCAUUAGAGCUGCUGUGCAUAAAUGCAUUAAGGUUUUAGUGAUGCUGAAAGGUUGCUUGUGCAAAUAGAAGAACAUCUUUGGUGUUUAAGAGUGACAGGUUCCAUUUGGACAGAGCUGGAGGCGUUUUGCAGAGCAUCCAUCUUACCCAGCAUACCACAUACUGCUCCCACAGCAUUCUGCUCAUGUUUUCUCUCCUAAUUACCCACCUGUGUGUCAUAUUAAUUGCUGUUGAUGUUUUCCUCUCAUGUGUGGCCUCAUGUUGUAAGCCACACACCAUGCACACAGAGAUGACCCUUACAUUUAUGUUUUGCUGGUUGUUUUUUUUUUUGUAUUUCCCUCUUUUCAGUUAAAGGCCAGCCUUCAGUGAUAAUUCAGUUACUGUGUUGAGGGGAAGGACUUUGCACAAGGACAGAAAUGAGCAGCAGCAAUGUGUGUUGCAGGGCUUUGAUCUUUAAUUGUGACGGAGUGCUUGAUUGUCUUUUUAAGUGAUGCUUGUCUCACUUGGGGAGUGUGAGGUGUGUAUUCUUGUUGUUUAGGUGUUUGUAGGGGUCCGACAGUUGUUUGAUGUGUGUGUUAAGCUGUCAGACCACAUGUCCUGUUCAGAGACAGCUGGCUCUUCUGAGUGCUUUACUUGUGAUCUGAAGAAAUCUGCCUUGAAUUUAUCCUAAAAUACAUGAUGUGAAACAGCUUAUGUAAACACCUGAGCCAACAUUGACAGCUCUGAUGUUAAUCAGCCCCCUGGGCAAACAAUAAGCAAUCCAGACCAGUUAGAAUACUAAUCAUAUCAAGGCUAAUACUCACUUUUAAUUAUCAGCUCCUGUUAAAGCUAACACCUCCAACAGGUCCUAAAUGUUCUGCCAUUUGGGCUUCAUUAGCCUAUUCAGUACUUUUCCUUUAGCUGAUAAGGUAAAUGACACCAAGUUGUUAAAAAUAAAGCCCCCCAGGCUCAGGGAGUUUCAUGUGUUUUUACCUCUAUUUUAAAUGAGACCCUACCUUAUGAGGAAUUGUGGGCAAUAUAGGAAACAAAUAUUUCUGAGACAACUUUGCAGCAAAGGACAAGGAACCUGGUCAGAGUCACUGGGAAGAUGGAUGGAGGAAAAAAGGGCAAACAUGGAACAAAACUUGAGACAGUGCAACAACUGAAUAAAUAGUUUAGAUCAAAGCAUACCCAUAUGUUAGAAAAGCCCAGUCAAUGCCUAGACCUGAAUUAAUCUGACAAUUGGUGGCAAUAAUUUAAAAUUCCUGUUCACAAGGGCUCUCCAUCCAAUCUGACUAAGCUUGAGCUAUUUUGCAAACAAGAAUGUGUGUAAAUGUCAGUCUCUAGAUGUGCAAAGUUGGUAGAAACAUCCUUUCAGAAGCCUUGCAAUUGUAACUGCAGAAGAAAAGGUGGUUCUAAAAAGUUUUGACUCAGGAUAGCUGUAUACAAAUGCUUGAUAUUCUUUCCAGAUUGAUAUUUGUAAAAAAUAAAAAUAAAAAACUAUG